GAGGAAGGAAAGGAGCGCACGGGUGCCGGGCCCCGGGAACCCAUUCGAUUUAGAAGAAACACUGAGGGUGGACUUGGCGGACCCGUGCUCACACCACCCGUGGGACUCCUUCCCACGCCCGCUCCGGAGCCCAGAAGUUUGCUGUGGAGUUUGUUUGUCGCGCCCGCGCACCUACUGUGGGCAAGAAGAGCCAGCGCAGGCCCGCCCGCUCGCCGGCCCAGAGUGCUGCCCCGCGCGCCGUUCAUGCAGUUCCUUCGCCACCGCCGAGAGCUCGCGGCGACGGCGAGUCGCUACGGCGGCGCGAAAACCCGGCGGCAGCCACCGAGUCUCUGUAGCCGGGCCGGGAAAGCCGGGAGCGCCGCGCGACCCGCUCAGAAGCGUCCUUGAGUAACCAAGAAAACGAGGACGACGGUGUAAGCUUUGUAGGAAGAGCAGAUGUAGUAGUGCACGCCUGCACCAGGAUGGCCGAGUGGUUAAGGCGUUGGACUUAAGAUCCAAUGGACAUAUGUCUGCGUGGGUUCGAACCCCACUCCUGCCAUUUAAUUAUCUGGAGUCGCAGAAAAAUAUUUUUUCCGAAAAGCUCGGAACUCCGUGGGAAAUAGUAUCAGUCUAUUUAAACAGUGACACCUACUGGUAAACUGAGGUAAAUGUAUUUGUUUGAAUAAACCUUGGGUUUUGUUUU
rnacentral:lncRNA from 1 species